rnacentral:ncRNA from 6 species
CAAAGGUUUGGUCCUGGCCUUCCUAUUAGUCCCUAGCAAACUUACACAUGCAAGCUUCCACGCUCCAGUGAGAAUGCCCUUGAAAUCACCGGUGAUUUAAAGGAGCAGGUAUCAAGCACACUCCUAAGUAGCUCAUAACACCUUGCUAAGCCACACCCCCACGGGAUACAGCAGUGAUAAAAAUUAAGCCAUGAACGAAAGUUCGACUAAGUUAUGCUAUAGAGGGUUGGUAAAUUUCGUGCCAGCCACCGCGGUCAUACGAUUAACCCGAAUUAAUAGGCCCACGGCGUAAAGCGUGUUUAAGAUAUACUCACACUAAAGUUAAAACUUAACUAAGCCGUAAAAAGCUACAGUUACCAUAAAAUAUACUACGAAAGUGACUUUAAUAUAUUCUGACUACACGAUAGCUAAGACCCAAACUGGGAUUAGAUACCCCACUAUGCUUAGCCCUAAACAUAAACGGUUCUAUAAAACAAAAUGGUUCGCCAGAGAACUACUAGCAACAGCUUAAAACUCAAAGGACUUGGCGGUGCUUUACAUCCCUCUAGAGGAGCCUGUUCUAUAAUCGAUAAACCCCGAUAGACCUCACCAUUCCUUGCUAAUACAGUCUAUAUACCGCCAUCUUCAGCAAACCCUUAAAAGGUAAAGUAGUAAGCACGAUCACUUCACGCAAAAAAGUUAGGUCAAGGUGUAACCCAUGGGAUGGGAAGAAAUGGGCUACAUUUUCUACUCCAAGAAUACUUCACGGAAGUUUUUAUGAAACUAAAAACUGAAGGAGGAUUUAGUAGUAAGUUAAGAAUAGAGAGCUUAACUGAAUAGGGCCAUGAAGCACGCACACACCGCCCGUCACCCUCCUCAAGUAAUAACCCUACAACAAUAAUCAUAUUAAUCAGACCAAAACACAAGAGGAGACAAGUCGUAACAAGGUAAGCGUACCGGAAGGUGCGCUUGGAUCAAC